GACGAACGCUGGCGGCGUGCUUAACACAUGCAAGUCGAGCGGUAAGGCUCUUCGGGGUACACGAGCGGCGAACGGGUGAGUAACACGUGGGUGACCUGCCUCUAGCUCUGGGAUAAGCCUGGGAAACUGGGUCUAAUACCGGAUAUGACUCCACGGCGCAUGUUGUGGGGUGGAAAGCCUUGUGUGGCUAGAGAUGGGCCCGCGGCCUAUCAGCUUGUUGGUGGGGNGAUGGCCUACCAAGGCGACGACGGGUAGCCGGCCUGAGAGGGCGACCGGCCACACUGGGACUGAGACACGGCCCAGACUCCUACGGGAGGCAGCAGUGGGGAAUCUUGCGCAAUGGGCGAAAGCCUGACGCAGCGACGCCGCGUGAGGGAUGACGGCCUGGUGUAAC
rnacentral:rRNA from 1 species